ACCAAGACGAGUAGACGACGAGUUAUAAUUUAUAAGCCCAAUUUAUUUUAUUUUUAUUUAAAAUUUUAUGAAAACGAAGAGUUGAUUUCCGACAGAACUUAGGGUUCGACUUUUCCCCCAAUUUUCCGAUCAUCUUCUUCAAAUUGCUGGUAGCAGUGAUAUAAAAGAGAAAGAAGUAAGAGUUAGUGAAAAGGAGGAAGGAUAUAAGAUGAUUUACAGAAAGUGGAGUUUGCUGAGCAGCACGGCGGUGAUCACUACUGGCAUCGUCGGCGCCUUCGUCCUCGGAAACCUCCUCUUUGUUAAUCAGGACCCUUUCCCGAAGCAAGUACCAAAGAAACAGAACGCGUCUUCAUCACAGUAGAUCCGUUUUGUAAGUGUUGUGCUAAGAAUUUGUGGAGUUUCUUAUCAAGUUUGUCGGUUUAUCAUGCGAGUUGGGAGCACUAAUGAAUCAAAUCUCAUUUGAAAAAGUGGUGAUUAUGUUUGAAUAAGCUUUUGCUUUGAGAUUAUAGGCAUCAUUUGACAUGUCAUGCAUUACAAAUUUUAAAUGAAAAUUGUGUUGUGAAAUCAUUUUGCUCAUGUUUACCCGUGCCUUUUCAUUGUAUCUCUUGCUUGUUUGGUGGAAUUAAUAAUAAGGUUUGGUUAAUCCA